UACGUAGGGGGCAAGCGUUGUUCGGAAUUACUGGGCGUAAAGGGCUCGUAGGCGGCCAACUAAGUCCGACGUGAAAUCCCCAGGCUUAACCUGGGAACUGCGUCGGAUACUGGAUGGCUUGAAUUCGGGAGAGGGAUGCAGAAUUCCAGGUGUAGAGGUGAAAUUCGUAGAUAUUCGGAAGAACACCAGUGGCGAAGGCGGCUCACUGGCCCGGUACUGACGCUGAGGUGCGAAAGCGUGGGGAGCAAACAGG
rnacentral:rRNA from 1 species